UACCGUCCGGGAUGUGUCCUGAGAUAGCCCGGCUAACUACGUGCCGCGCCGCGGUAUACGUAGGUGCGAGCGUUAUCGGAUUACUGGGCGUAAGCGUGCGCGGCGGUUUACAGACAGGCGUGAAUCCCCGGGCUUACCUGGAUGGCGCCUGUCUGUUGGCUAAGUGUGUCGAGGGGGGUAGAAUUCCACGUGUACAGUGAAAUGCGUAGAUAUGUGGAGGAAUACCAAUGGCGAAGGCAGCCCCCUGGGAUAACACUGACGCUCAUGCACGAAAGCGUGGGGAGCAAACAGGAUUAGAUACCCUGGUAGUCCACGCCCUAAACGAUGCUGACUAGUUGUUCGGGAUUUACAUCCUGAGUAACGUAGCUAACGCGUGAAGUCAGCCGCCUGGGGAGUACGGUCGCAAGAUUAAAACUCAAAGGAAUUGACGGGGACCCGCACAAGCGGU
rnacentral:rRNA from 1 species